UAAUACGUAGGGGGCGAGCGUUGUCCGGAUUCAUUGGGCGUAAAGAGCUCGUAGGCGGUUCGAUAAGUCAGGUGUGAAAACUCCAGGCUCAACUUGGAGACGCCACCUGAUACUGUCGUGACUAGAGUCCGGUAGGGGAGCAUGGAAUUCCUGGUGUAGCGGUGAAAUGCGCAGAUAUCAGGAGGAACACCAGCGGCGAAGGCGGUGCUCUGGGCCGGAACUGACGCUGAGGAGCGAAAGCGUGGGGAGCGAACAGGAUUAGAUACCCUGGUAGUCCACGCCGUAAACGUUGGGCACUAGGUGUGGGGCUCUGUCAACGAGUUCCAUGCCGUCGCUAACGCAUUAAGUGCCCCGCCUGGGGAGUACGGCCGCAAGGCU
rnacentral:rRNA from 1 species